UAGGGAAUCUUCGGCAAUGGACGAAAGUCUGACCGAGCAACGCCGCGUGAGUGAAGAAGGUUUUCGGAUCGUAAAACUCUGUUGUUUGAGAAGAACAAGGACGUUAGUAACUGAACGUCCCCUGACGGUAUCUAACCAGAAAGCCACGGCUAACUACGUGCCAGCAGCCGCGGUAAUACGUAGGUGGCAAGCGUUGUCCGGAUUUAUUGGGCGUAAAGCGAGCGCAGGCGGUUUCUUAAGUCUGAUGUGAAAGCCCCCGGCUGCACCGGGGAGGGUCAUUGGAAACUGGGAGACUUGAGUGCAGGAGAGGAGAGUGGAAUUCCAUGUGUAGCGGUGAAAUGCGUAGAAAUAUGGAGGAACACCAGUGGCGAAGGCGGCUCUCUGGUCUGUAACUGACGCUGAGGAUCGAAAGCGUGGGGAGCAAACAGG
rnacentral:rRNA from 1 species